rnacentral:tRNA from 1 species
UCCAGGGUAGCCUAGUGGACAUGGCAUCUGCCCGGUAAGCGGAACAUUGUGGGUUCGAAUCCCAUCCCUGGAC